rnacentral:misc_RNA from 1 species
GGAAAUAAAAGUCGUAACAAGGUUUCCGUAGGUGAGCCUGCGGAAGGAUCAUUAACACUUUUUUAAUUAAUAUUAUUUAAUAAUAAUAUUAUUAUAAACCCCCCCCCUUUACAAAUGAAUGAAUUAUUAGUAUUUUUUAUCAUUUUUAUAGUACAUUUUUAACCCCAAUUUUAUUUUAUAUAAAAAAAACUUAAAUGAAUGAUUAAUUCAAUUAAUUCAAUUAAAAAAACAACUUUUAACAACGGAUAUCUUGGCUCUC